rfam:Triticum aestivum genome assembly, contig: Triticum_aestivum_CS42_TGACv1_scaffold_001387_1AL
UAUGUAUUUCCUCCGUCCGGAAAUACUUGUCGAAGAAAUUGAUAAAAAUGGAUAUAUCUAAACUAAAAUACAUCUAGAUACAUCCAUUUCACCGACAAGUAUUUCUGAACGAAGGGAGUACACA